GCCUAGGUGGCUCAGUUGGUUGGGUGUCCGACUUCAGAUCUGAUCUCACCGUUUGUGGGUUUGAGCCCCGUGUUGGGCU
rnacentral:tRNA from 1 species